rnacentral:miRNA from 1 species
ACUUCAAGAUGUGCCAUUCAUG